rnacentral:rRNA from 1 species
UACGUAGGGUGCAAGCGUUGCCCGGAUUUAUUGGGCGUAAAGAGCGUGUAGGCGGCCAGGUAGGUCCGCUGUGAAAACUCGAGGCUCAACCUCGAGAUGUCGGCGGAAACCAUCUGGCUAGAGUCCGGAAGAGGAGAGUGGAAUUCCUGGUGUAGCGGUGAAAUGCGCAGAUAUCAGGAAGAACACCCGUGGCGAAGGCGGCUCUCUGGGACGGUACUGACGCUGAGACGCGAAAGCGUGGGGAGCGAACAGG